ACCAGGCAUGGUAUCAUACACCUGUAGUCCCAGUUACUUGGGAGGCUAAGGCAGGAGAAUCACUUGAGUGCAGGAGUUGGAGGCCAGCCUAGGCAACAUAGAGACAGCCUGUCUCAA
rnacentral:sRNA from 1 species